GAGCGGACUGAGGUAGCUUGCUACCAAGGUUAGCGGCGGACGGGUGAGUAACGCGUAGGAAUCUACCUGGUAAUGGGGGAUAACGUUCCGAAAGGAACGCUAAUACCGCAUACGCCCUAAGGGGGAAAGUGGGGGAUCUUCGGACCUCACGUUAUCAGAUGAGCCUGCGUAGGAUUAGCUAGUUGGUAGGGUAAAGGCCUACCAAGGCGACGAUCCUUAACUGGUCUGAGAGGAUGAUCAGUCACACUGGAACUGAGACACGGUCCAGACUCCUACGGGAGGCAGCAGUGGGGAAUAUUGGACAAUGGGGGCAACCCUGAUCCAGCCAUGCCGCGUGUGUGAAGAAGGCCUUCGGGUUGUAAAGCACUUUCGGUCAGAAAGAAGGGUGUUGAAUUAAUACUUCAGCAUUUUGACGGUACUGACAUAAGAAGCACCGGCUAACUCCGUGCCAGCAGCCGCGGUAAUACGGAGGGUGCAAGCGUUAAUCGGAAUUACUGGGCGUAAAGCGCGCGUAGGCGGUUUGUUAAGUCGGAUGUGAAAGCCCUGGGCUCAACCUGGGAACUGCAUACGAUACUGGCAAGCUAGAGUGCAAUAGAGGGG
rnacentral:rRNA from 1 species